rnacentral:rRNA from 1 species
GAUGAACGCUAGCGAUAGGCUUAACACAUGCAAGUCGAGGGGCAGCACAAGGUAGCUUGCUAUCUGGGUGGCGACCGGCGCACGGGUGCGUAACGCGUAUGCAACCUGCCCUAUACAGGAGGAUAACCCGUCGAAAGACGGACUAAUACUGCGUAUGCUCACAACUUGGCAUCAAGUGGUGAGGAAAGAAAUUCGGUAUAGGAUAGGCAUGCGUCCCAUUAGCUUGUUGGUGAGGUAACGGCUCACCAAGGCAACGAUGGGUAGGGGAACUGAGAGGUUUAUCCCCCACACUGGUACUGAGACACGGACCAGACUCCUACGGGAGGCAGCAGUGAGGAAUAUUGGUCAAUGGGCGCGAGCCUGAACCAGCCAAGUCGCGUGAAGGAUGACUGUCUUAUGGAUUGUAAACUUCUUUUAUACGGGAAUAACAAGAGUCACGUGUGACUCCCUGCAUGUACCGUAUGAAUAAGCAUCGGCUAACUCCGUG